rnacentral:lncRNA from 1 species
ACGAAGAGGAGCUCCGAGUCUUAAGUUUUUUAGAAAAUUUCUCUAAGUCCUAUAGCUCGGAUUUGAGAGUCGUGGAAGUCAUUACGUUUAGCCUUUAGAAAAAUCUCAGGGCAUCGAGGUCGGGCCUUAGCCCUUCAACUAAGACCGGACUGGGUCUAUGCGUGCCGCUAUUCGGGGAGUUUAGUCGGGUUUCCGAACUGAACUCCGAACCCCUCAAAGGGAGCGCGGGCUAAUAAGCAGGUUAUUGCCGAAGGUUUUCAUAGUUAUUGUUCUCGGACUCUGCCGAGGCUUCGGUGAGCAAGGCUGGGAUUUCCAGAGAUUGCCUUGGUACCCGUGUUUGGCUGGUACAUUCGUGGCUGGGACCACUUUUUCAGCCGGACGUAGGAGUUUACGUCGAAGAGCCGAGUCGGGCACUAAUUUAUGAAAUCCUCUGUACAAGUUUCGGAGACUUGACGAACGGUGCAUGCGUAAUGUAGUUAGGGGGUCGAUCUUAAGCCGACCCA